rfam:Otolemur garnettii contig079667, whole genome shotgun sequence.
AACUUUAUACAAUGGCAGUAUCAUAGCCAAUGAGGGUUAUCCAAAGCAAAAUUAUUGUUAAUUAAAAACUUUCCCAAUACCCUGUCAUGAGGACUUGCAACAUAGUUGGCACUGACAAUUUUUUUUUUCUUGGCACCAGC